GAGUAAUACAUAAGUAACCUGCCCUAGACAGGGGGAUAACUAUUGGAAACGAUAGCUAAGACCGCAUAGGUACGGACACUGCAUGGUGACCGUAUUAAAAGUGCCUCAAAGCACUGGUAGAGGAUGGACUUAUGGCGCAUUAGCUGGUUGGCGGGGUAACGGCCCACCAAGGCGACGAUGCGUAGCCGACCUGAGAGGGUGACCGGCCACACUGGGACUGAGACACGGCCCAGACUCCUACGGGAGCAGCAUG
rnacentral:rRNA from 1 species